GGCUUUUUAGUUUAUUGUUUAGAAUAUUGAUUUUGUAAAUCAGGGGUAGGGUGUUUUGACCUUUAAGCCU
rnacentral:tRNA from 4 species